rnacentral:rRNA from 1 species
AAUUUUUGACAAUGGGGGAAACCCUGAUCCAGCCAUCCCGCGUGUAUGAUGAAGGCCNNNGGGUUNUCAAGUACUUCUGGCAGNGAGNAAAAGGUAUCUCCUAAUACGAGAUACUGCUGACGGUAUCUGCAGAAUAAGCACCGGCUAACUACGUGCCAGCAGCCGCGGUAAUACGUAGGGUGCAAGCGUUAAUCGGAAUUACUGGGCGUAAAGCGUGUGUAGGCGGUUCGGAAAGAAAGAUGUGAAAUCCCAGGGCUCAACCUUGGAACUGCAUUUCUAACGGCCGAGCUAGAGUAUGUCAGAGGGGGGUAGAAUUCCACGUGUAGCAGUGAGAUGCGUAGAUAUGUGGAGGAAUACCGAUGGCGAAGGCAGCCCCCUGGGAUAAUACUGGCGAUCAGACACGAAAGCAUGGGGAGCAAACAG